AUGAGUCGAAGGCUGAAUAUUGAUAUACCCGAGAACAAUACACUUUUGUUACCUCUAGAUGUAUUGACAGUUGCAGAUCAUUUGAUUCGAAUCAAAUUUGGAAUGGGUACACUUGACGAUAUGAAUCAUUUGAAAAAUAAACAUAUUCAUUUCGUAGCAGAUCUCUUAGAAGAUCAAUUUGGAUUGGCUCUCGUUCAUUUAGGAAAUAUAAAUAGAGGAACUAUAUGUGAAGCAAUUAGAUAUAAAUUGAUACUGACUCCUUAA